rnacentral:tRNA from 3 species
GCUGGCGUAGCUCAGUUGGUAGAGCAGCUGAUUUGUAAUCAGCAGGUCGGGGGUUCAAGUCCCUUCGCCAGCU